rnacentral:lncRNA from 1 species
CCAAUCCCAACCUAGUAAGUAAGGAGACAGGACCCUUGGGGCCUGCUGCGGGAUGCACUUUCCCCAGCCACAACACUUUAAAACCCACACUGCUCAGGGGUGAAGUCUGGAGAUUCAGAAAUAUAUACAGGAGAGGAAAGAGGAAUGACUGGUCUCUCCAUCUGGCAGCUAAGGGACCUAGGCUAGCCUGCUUUUGACUUUAUUUGAGGGGUUUCCUUUUUUUUAAGCAGAUAGCUUUGUGAGUCCCCAAAGUUCUGGAAAUCUACUGUUAGCAUCAUCUACUAGUAAAAUACUUCCUCGUUUCACCCCCAGCAGAAAAACAAGAAAGCAACAAUAGUUUUGUUUUUUUUUUACUGUAAUUCCAAGGAUUUGUUAAUGAAAUUAGGAUUAUAAGAGAAUGAAGAGUUUAUUCUUCUAAAUAGGCAGUCAAGCUUCCCUAGAACUGAAUCUGAGCAAAUCAGAAUGGCUGACUGAAGGCCAAGAUUGGUACAAAUCCCCAGUUCCUUUGGCCUGAGCCAAGUGUUGAUACUGUCAACCCAAUAACUUCCCCAGUUUCUGUCCCCACCAACUGGAAUUGAACCCAAUGAGCGAGACAUGAAGAACUAGAAGGAGAGGCACAGGCAUUAUGUAUGUUGUGCUCUUCUCAGCAGAACUGCAUGACAGAGGAACUCCUCCCCUAAGAAAGAAGCCCAGCUACAGUCAGUAAAAUGAGCUGGAGAAGGAAAUGGCAAACCACUCCUUUAUCUUCAUAAAGAAAACCCCAAAUGGGGUCACAAAGAAUCAGACAUGUGAGAUAGAUGACAGCAAAAAAAAAGUGGAAAAGAUUUGGACCAUCACAGAAGUUUGCUGAACCCUGCUCUAGGCAGCCCUCUAAGAUUCAGAGAAGACACCAACUGGAAUUAUUGAAAGACAGAAUUCACCUGGGAAUUUCCUUUGCUAUAGAAAUAAUAAAUCUAAUUACUGUUCUAUCCUAUAUUUAGUCUGUAUAUACUUAUAUAAGCAUAUGCUUUUUCCAUUAAUAGAAUGUGAACUCCUAAGAACAAGGAUUGCUUGAUCCUUUGUCUUUGUAUCCCCAAUGCCUUGCACAAUGUUGCUAUGUUGUGAGUUCUUAAUAGAUGUUUGUUGAUUGACUCAUUACUUGCUGAAGUCAAAUAUUACUUUAUUUUCCCAGAAUAUGCUUUGAUGUCAGUUGAUGUGUUUUUCAGAAUUUGAAGACAGAUUUCCUGAGCCCUGUUAUCAUGGAAUGGUUUCAUUCCAGCCUGAACAAUUCAUUGUCUCUUCUUCCCUGAAGUGAUGAGGUGCCUGCAGACUAAUCAUGUAAAUACAAACAACUCUCUCCUCUCAUGCCUACUCCAGUACUGCUCUGGGUUGCUAGACUCACCUUGUGAGAUGCCCCCUGUCUCAAGAAGGUCAGUUAGAGAUGAAUAAGGUCCCCUGGCAACAGCUGACUUCUCUUUUAUGAACUGCUUGUAUCUAUCGCCAUAUGGCAGAUUAUUUAUUUGCUUUUUGCCUGCACUAAAGAAUCACUCCAGACAUUGAGAGUCAGGAGGAAAAAAAAGCAUCAAGGUGUUCAGCAUUCAUUUUUUGAAAAUUGUUCAAGUU